rnacentral:rRNA from 1 species
AGAAUGAACGCUGGCGGCAUGCCUAACACAUGCAAGUCGAACGAGACCUUCGGGUCUAGUGGCGCACGGGUGCGUAACGCGUGGGAAUCUGCCCUUAGGUACGGAAUAACUCAGGGAAACUUGUGCUAAUACCGUAUGAUGUCGAGAGACCAAAGAUUUAUCGCCUAGGGAUGAGCCCGCGUAGGAUUAGCUAGUUGGUGGGGUAAAGGCCUACCAAGGCUACGAUCCUUAGCUGGUCUGAGAGGAUGAUCAGCCACACUGGGACUGAGACACGGCCCAGACUCCUACGGGAGGCAGCAGUGGGGAAUAUUGGACAAUGGGCGAAAGCCUGAUCCAGCAAUGCCGCGUGAGUGAAGAAGGCCUUCGGGUUGUAAAGCUCUUUUACCCGGGAAGAUAAUGACUGUACCGGGAGAAUAAGCCCGGCUAACUCCGUGCCAGCAGCCGC